rnacentral:lncRNA from 10 species
CUGUAAUUGUUUUAGUAAAAAAAAUGUUAUUUAUAGAAGUUUACUUUGCUGUUACAAGAAGAUUUAUUUUUCAGGUGCACGAGAAACAGACUACCCUGCAGGAGAAGAUCUUUCAGAAUCUGGUCAGGUAGACAAAGCAUCUUUAUGUGGAAGUAUGACAAGCAACAGCUCAGCAGAGACAGACAGCCUGUUAGGAGGCAUCACAGUGGUUGGUUGUUCUGCAGAAGGUGUGACGGGAGCUGCCACUUCCCCUAGUACAAAUGGUGCUUCUCCAGUGAUGGAUAAACCACCAGGUAUAUCCAUUCUCUUUACCUGCCAUCUGUAUAGAGUCUAAGGCUACACUCAGAUGCCUCAUUAUGGACUUAAUUUAGAUCUUAAGUAACAAGGUUGAAAGAACUUGAAAGAAGAUACUGUAGUCCCAGCUACUCGGGAGGCUGAGGCAGGAGAAUGGCGUGAACCUGGGAGGUGGAGCUUGCAGUGAGCCAAGAUCACGCCGCCGCACUCCAGCCUGGGCAACAGAGCAAGACUCUGUCUCAAAAAAAAAAAAAAUGCUGUAAU